AUACGUAGGGGGCGAGCGUUGUCCGGAAUGAUUGGGCGUAAAGGGCGCGUAGGCGGCCCGGUAAGUCUGGAGUGAAAGUCCUGUUUUUAAGAUGGGAAUUGCUUUGGAUACUGUCGGGCUUGAGUGCAGGAGAGGUAAGUGGAAUUCCCAGUGUAGCGGUGAAAUGCGUAGAUAUUAGGAGGAACACCAGUGGCGAAGGCGGCCUGCUGGACGACAACUGACGCUGAGGCGCGAAAGCGUGGGGAGCAAACAGGAUUAGAUACCCUGGUAGUCCACGCUGUAAACGAUGAAUACUAGGUGUGGGGGGACUGACCCCCUCCGUGCCGCAGUUAACACAAUAAGUAUUCCACCUGGGGAGUACGAUCGCAAGAUUGAAACUCAAAUGAAUUGGCGGGG
rnacentral:rRNA from 1 species